rnacentral:lncRNA from 1 species
GGCUGGAGGAAGUACUAGACCAAUGUGGGAACAGACCCCACAAGUUGUUUCCCUCCACUGUUUCAUACUGACAGAGGAAAGAGACAGAAAUGGAGACAGAAAGGCGGGCCUCCAAAGAUGUGCAAGCUUGUAGGACCUGAUUUUCCUCUCCUCAAACUAAAGGAGACCAGGCUGUCAGGCUCUGAGCCAAAGCUCAGCCAUUAUAACCUCUGUGACCUGCACAUACAUACACAUCCAGGUGGCCUGCAGGAGCCAAGAAAUGGGGAGCAGUCAAAAAACCACAAAGAAGGAAAACAGCCAGUUCCUGGCUUAACUGAUUAACCAACAUUACAACAUUUUACUAUUGUGACUUGUCGCUGCCCUACCUUAGCUGGCCAAUCGACUUUGUGACAUUCUUCUUCUGGACAAUGAAUCUUAUGAUCUCUCCACCAUGUACGUUGUAACCCCCUCCUCUGCUAACAAUAACCACAUUUUACUGUAAUUUUCCAUUACCUACCCAACUCCCUUCCCCAUUUCCCUUUGCUGACUCUCUUUUCGGACUCAGCCCACUUGCACCCAAGUGAAUAAACAGCUUUAUUGCUCACACAAAUCCUGUUGGUGGUCUCUUCACACGGACGUGCUUGACACAGGCAAAGGAGAAGGAGGAAGGGAAGGGGGAGCAGCUCUGGAACAAGAGAGGAGGGUUCUGCAGAGGCAGGCGGGAGUUCUUGGGGUGAAGCAUUUAUUCAUGGGAGGAGAGGCUCACAGGAUAUGACCUCAGUAAGCAUCCAGUCCUUGUCACAUAGUCUUAGGCACGGCCUACUGCCUGACAAUCCCAGACACAUUGGAACAGAGGGGCAGGGCCCUGGGAAGGGGCUUGAAGGGAAACUUCCCUACCUCCCUUUCCUGCACACCUGGCCCUGGCUGGAAUAGAAAAGCAUCAUUUGGGAAUAGAGAGCAGCUGUGGAUCCAUCACGGCUAUCCCGCACACCAUCAACACCACUGACACCUUCACCAACAUUUCUAAUUCUGCCUUAACCUCUCCACUGGGCUGCAGACUUACAUCCAGUUGUCUCUAGGACAUGUUCACUGACUUGUCCAACAGACACUGGCACUCACCAGCCUCAGGGGAAAGGCACUACCUUCCACCCACAGUCCAACCCCCAGAUCAGGGAAUCGCAAUUCCUCCUUUCUCUACAUCCUCCACCUGCAGGUCUUCAGGGUGCGACUCUGGGCAGGUCGUACUCUCCCUCCACUUAGGAUUUCUCAUCUGGAGAAUGGGAUAAUGCCAGCCCCAGCUUCCAGACUGUUGUAAGGAUUCAAUAGGACGGAUCAUGUAAUGCCCUUAGCCCAGGGGUUUGUGCAGGCAGCAGUCAAUAUGUCUUCAUCAUUGUUCUUGUUGGCUGGGCCAAGAGACCCUGCUUGAUAGGAGAAUCAAGUUCUGCAGUGAAGUUGGUGGUCUGGAAGCCGGACUCUAGCAAGGGGUAUUUUGGCCUGGGUGUAGGCAGUCCCCACUCUCCACUUAUUAGUCGCUCUCUGGCCUGUGGUCAGAAGCCUCCAAGGGACUGUCCCAUGUGCAGUGUUGUCAGCAGUGGCCAUGCAAAUGGUGCCCGUGGGGCUGGCAGCACUACCCUGUCCCCAGCUGCCCGCAGUUGGUGACCUCUUCUUCCUAACACUUUGCUUUUGGUUUACCUCCUCAGCAUGGGCCUGCAUUUCCACUGCGUAAUAGAACUAAGCUGUGGGAGCCAGUGUGGGCGGCAAGGGGACUUGGUGGCAUUUGAGAAGCAUUGGACAGCAGACACUCCUUGGUCAGCCCUCCCCUCUGAAAAGCAGAACUCUGUGCUGCAGCCCAGACACUGGAGAGCACCAGCCUGUCUCCUCCACCCUCCAGCGAGAUGCGGGAGAAAUAUUCUCUCUCAUUCUUUCUCCUGAGUUGUGCCUACUUCCAUUUUAAAUUCCGCCAAAUGAUCCCUUAAUCUAAUAGCAAUUGCUAACAGCCUGGCCCUGAGAAGUCCUCUCUGCAUUUCAAUUCCUGCAUUAUCCCCUUCUUGCUGGCUUAGUAGAGCCUCUAUUCCUUGAUGCUUUCUAAGGCAACUAAUCACUCAAACGAGGCAGAAUAAACCCAUUUAGACCAAACAUGAAUUAUUUGCAAGCCAAACCCAGCACUGAUGUUGGUCUAAGGUAUUUGGAGCGUUAUUUACAUUUGUAAGUGCAGGCAUUUUGAUGCUAAACCUCAGGUUAAGCUCUGGGAAGCCUGACUGGCCCUGCUAGCAGCAUUCUACUGCCAGGAGCCCUGCGGCUGGGGCAGUCUAGCUGGGACCCUCUGCCUGUCUGUGGACAGUGGGUGCUCUGGGUCUGCGUGUUCCCCAAGGUGAGGCUGGCUCUCUUUGCUCUCGGUAAUCCCACCAUCCUGCAGGGACCCAGAGCACUCGGCCCUCAGAAAAUGGGGCUGUCAGUGGGAGGGCGAAUUUAUCUUCUAGCUAGGGAAGCAAGAAGGAUGCUGCUUUUCCUAAGGCUGUUUCAGGUGCCAGAAGAGGCCCACUCAAGAUGCCUCAGGAGGGCUUUCAGCCUGUGGAAUCUGCGGUUUUGAGAACCUGGGGCCUGGAGCAAAAGAAUAGCAGGGCCCCUAGGCUGGGCCUGGGUGAGGAACAGUGCAGUACUGAGCCCACUUGUUUGGACCGAAUGCCUGUUCCCCCCAGAUGCUUAGGCUGAAGCCCCAGCCCCCAAUAUAACUGCAUUAGGAGGUGUGGCCUUUGGGAGGUAACUGGGUUUAGAUGAGGUCAUGAGGGUGGGGCCUUCAGAAUAGAAUUAGUGCCCCUACAAGAAGAGACCAGGGAGCUUGCUCUCAUUCUCUACCAUGUAAGAAGGUGGCUACCUGCAGGCCAGGGAGAGGGCCUCCCAGAACUGGACCCUGCUGGCACCUGAGAUCAGGCCUCCAGCCCCAGGAGUAGGAGAAAUAAAUCUCUGUUGUUGAAGCCACCCAGCCUGUGGCGUUUCGUUAUGUCAGCCCUUGACUAAUCCAUAUUCAUUCUCAUUCUCUCUCCCCUCUCUGUAUGGGGUUUCUGCUCCUCUUUGCUGCUCGGCCUGCUCCCUUCUCCUCCUCUCUCCUCCUCCUCACUCACCUCUGCCUCCACACUCUGUCAAGAGAAUGGCUCAAGAGAGCCGGCCUCAGUACUCCCUGGGGAAAGACCUGCUUCGCCCCCAGCUAGCAGGGGACUUUCUUCUAGGUCUCUCGGAUUAAAUCCUGAGAGGUGAGUCUGCUUAUCUAGGCCGCCCCCUCCGCGGGCGCACCGAUGCCUGGCACUGCCCGCCGGGGCGUGGGCGCGCCCACACCGUCCACCCUGCUCCUGCCCAGAGCGGGUCCUCUGCCGAAGGAAUUUGCGCUGGCAGCUCCCGGAGGGUCUGGCCCGCACGCGGCAGGGCAAUAAAGCCUGCAAACGUGUGGGAGCGGGGGUGAUGGGGGUCCAGAGGACGGGGCUUUGCAGGGACGUGGAGGGACUACAGGCAGCUGCGACCGUCUGCCCUGCCAUCGCUACCUGUGUAUACGCACUCGCACUCCAUGUAACCUUCACAGCCACCAGCAGGCCGCGGCCGGGCCGCCCUGCAGAGGAAGGAGCGGGUCCCAGUGCCCAGGGGCUUCCCGCGGUGGGGGGUUGGGCGGGGCGGGGGCUCCACUCUGGGGGCGUGGCUGACAGAAGGCCCCGCCCCCUCCCCGCCCGCGGGUGAAACCACCCCCGAGGCCCGGACGCACGCGGACCUGCGCUCAGGUUUCCCUGGGCUCUGUUGCCGUUCACUGUCCCGGGGAGCGCCCAGGUGAGCGAUCCUCGCCGCGGAGCUCCCGGACCCAGCAGCCUGGGAGGCUGGGGUCCGCCUUCUUCCCAGGCCCGCUCGCCUCGGGUGCUGGCUGGAGGGCUGUGGCGCGGGAUGGUAGGACUAGCGCUGAGCAGGUGGGAUUAAGCUCUCCAAUGAAACAUGGCCCCACCACACUUUGGUUUGGAGGCAAACACCCAGUAGCGUUACAGACUGAAACACCAUCAGCAGCAACACCUUGGCGUGACGUUAUCAGAUCUUUUCCCCCUAGACUGAGAAUUGUACUAGAGAACAGACUUUUGGCCAGGUUUGAAGAUUCUCUUGCAAUGCGCCAUCGCCCCUGACAGUCUUCAGCAUAGAAAAAUACAUGACAACCGUGGCCAUGGGUACUAGGCUUCGCUGCGCCCACCCUGGAGCCUGCCACCAGGGUUCCCACGACGGCUUCACUUCGUCCUGGCUGCGUGAGCAAGGCCCUUAAUCUUCUGACACCGCAGUUCCUCGUCUGUGAAGUGGGUGUAAUAUCACCUGCCUCUAGAGGCAUGCGAGGGAGCAGCAGUGCCUUGAAAGCAUCAAUGGCUCAGUUAGAAAAACACCGCCAUAAUAACUAGUGUCUACAAGCCAAUCUGCACACGAUGUAGCUCUGUUACACGAUCUCCUUUGAGUCACAAAUAGCUUGGAAGUUGUUAUGACUCCCAUUUUACAGAUGGAGAAACAGGCUCAGAGAGAUUAAGAGCCUGGGCUUUUAAGCGGUGAGAUAGGAGUCAAGCCCCGGCUGUUUGAUUCCAAAUCUGCGGAGUCCUGAAAGACCUCAGGCUUCCGGGGCAGCUGGAUUUAGGGUUGAGGGCUGGUGGCCUCUUCGAGCUGCAGUUUCCUCACAUGUAAAAUGGGGAUGAUGCUAUGGGUCUGCAGAGGUGCAGGCAGCAGAUGUCUGUAAUGGAGGUCAUUACCAUUAUUCCACACCCGCAUCCGUUCAGCAGGCACAAGUGGACUUCGCUGCUUUUGCUUGUUGAUGUCUGGGCUUAGCCUGUCUGUCUACAAAACGAU